AGAUUGAACGCUGGCGGCAUGCCUUACACAUGCAAGUCGAACGGCAGCACGGGAGCAAUCCUGGUGGCGAGUGGCGAACGGGUGAGUAAUAUAUCGGAACGUGCCCAGUCGUGGGGGAUAACGCAGCGAAAGCUGUGCUAAUACCGCAUACGAUCUAUGGAUGAAAGCGGGGGAUCGCAAGACCUCGCGCGAUUGGAGCGGCCGAUAUCAGAUUAGCUAGUUGGUGGGGUAAAAGCCUACCAAGGCGACGAUCUGUAGCUGGUCUGAGAGGACGACCAGCCACACUGGAACUGAGACACGGUCCAGGACUCCUACGGGAGCAGCAGUGGGGAAUUUUGGACAAGUGGGCGCAAGCCUGAUCCAGCAAUGCCGCGUGCAGGAUGAAGGCCGUUCGGUGUAAACGUG
rnacentral:rRNA from 1 species